rnacentral:rRNA from 1 species
AGUGAACGCUGGCGGUAGGCCUAACACAUGCAAGUCGAACGGCAGCACAGUAAGAGCUUGCUCUUACGGGUGGCGAGUGGCGGACGGGUGAGGAAUACAUCGGAAUCUACUUUUUCGUGGGGGAUAACGUAGGGAAACUUACGCUAAUACCGCAUACGACCUACGGGUGAAAGCAGGGGAUCUUCGGACCUUGCGCGAUUGAAUGAACCGAUGUCGGAUUAGCUAGUUGGCGGGGUAAAGGCCCACCAAGGCGACGAUCCGUAGCUGGUCUGAGAGGAUGAUCAGCCACACUGGAACUGAGACACGGUCCAGACUCCUACGGGAGGCAGCAGUGGGGAAUAUUGGACAAUGGGCGCAAGCCUGAUCCAGCCAUACCGCGUGGGUGAAGAAGGCCUUCGGGUUGUAAAGCCCCUUUGUUGGGAAAGAAAAGCAGCAGGUUAAUACCCCGCUGUUCUGACGGUACCCAAAGAAUAAGCACCGGCUAUCUUCGUG